GGGCCCAUAGCUCAGCCUGGUAGAGCGUUCGACUCUUAAUCGACAGGUCGCGAGUUCAAAUCUCGCUGGGCCCA
rnacentral:tRNA from 1 species